CAAGAAGAGAACAGCUAUUGCUGUAAUCAUUCUUAAAUCACCCACAAGUUACAAGGAUAUUGUUAUUUUUGCAGAAACGCCAGUGACAUGUGGAUAAUGAAAUACAACCACAGUUGUAUAAGUACAUCUUUAUGCAUAUAAAGGGGAAAAGCAGUUCUCAAGCUCAUCUAAGAGACAAGCUCUUCGGACCAUUUGAAGAAUCCACUUGAAGAAUAAAUCUCUGUCUUACAAUUUU